UACAGAGGUCUCAAGCGUUGUUCGGAUUCAUUGGGCGUAAAGGGUGCGUAGGCGGCGCGGUAAGUCGGGUGUGAAAUCUCGGAGCUUAACUCCGAAACUGCAUUCGAUACUGCCGUGCUUGAGGACUGGAGAGGAGACUGGAAUUUACGGUGUAGCGGUGAAAUGCGUAGAUAUCGUAAGGAAGACCAGUGGCGAAGGCGGCCACCUGGACGGUAACUGACGCUGAGACGCGAAAGCGUGGGGAGCAAACAGG
rnacentral:rRNA from 1 species